GUGGCCGUAGCUCAGUCGGGUAGAGCGGUCGCUUGAAACGCGGCGCGCCGCAGGUUCGAUUCCUGCCGGCCACA
rnacentral:tRNA from 1 species